rnacentral:rRNA from 1 species
UACGUAGGGUGCGAGCGUUAAUCGGAAUUACUGGGCGUAAAGCGUGCGCAGGCGGUCGUUCAAGUCGCGUGUGAAAGCCCCCGGCUCAACUGGGGAGGGUCACGCGAUACUGAUCGACUCGAAGGCAGGAGAGGGAAGUGGAAUUCCCGGUGUAGUGGUGAAACGCGUAGAUAUCGGGAGGAACACCAGUGGCGAAGGCGACUUCCUGGCCUGUUCUUGACGCUGAGGCGCGAAAGCUAGGGGAGCAAACGGG